rnacentral:rRNA from 1 species
CCCUUAGAUGUUCUGGGCCGCACGCGCGCUACACUGACGAUGGCAACGAGUUUUUCCUUCGCCGAAAGGUGUGGGUAAUCUUUUGAAACAUCGUCGUGCUGGGGAUAGAUCAUUGCAAUUUUUGAUCUUGAACGAGGAAUUCCUAGUAAGCGCGAGUCAUCAGCUCGCGUUGAUUACGUCCCUGCCCUUUGUACACACCGCCCGUCGCUACUACCGGUUGAAUGGUUUAGUGAGGACUCCUGAUUGGCGCCGCCGCCCCGGCAACGGAGCAGCGGACUGCCGAAAAGUUGUUCAAACUUGAUCAUUUAGAGGAAGUAAAAGUCGUAACA